GGAAGCCUAUUCAUUCCCUUAUUUGCCCACUUAGAGAGUUAAGGCUACACAGGGAACCUAAUUGGAAUUGGAUUCUAUUCCUCUGAGAAGAUAAAUAAAAUUCUUAUUCACAGAGAAAAAUAAGGACACUGUGCAUCGCGAAUAGACUUUGUAAAAGCUGCACACAAGGUCGGCUGGCGCUUGGACCUUUAGCAAGAAAGGUCCCUGUGCCUUUAAGAAGAACCUAAGGGUGUCCAGAAGCCACUGCACACUGGGCUGGAAGGAUGAAGCAGAACCUGAAACGCAUGAAGUUCUGGCAGGAUUCUGGUCAACCUUGGAGCGAAGUGUGCCCUUCCCCCGGCCUUGAGUUGGCUAAACAAACCUCCUCCGACACUAGAGCCAGACAUCAGGCCUUGCCACGUUUACAUCUUCCUGCCAGAGACCUGAGAACUGAGAACUGCUCGCCCGCUGAGCUGCUGAAAAGCUUACUUUGCAACAGAACCCAACCGAAACAAAGAGGUGGGUCCUUGGGUUUUCCCACAUAUAUAUUCUGAGCUGUACAUUAAAAUUUAAGCCUUGAUCAA